rnacentral:lncRNA from 1 species
UGAUCUGUGAGCUGUGAAAACUAUCCUUCAAAAUCUUGAGGUCUUCCAAAUAAACUUCAAAAGCUGGUCAUUCCUCUCGUUCCGAAACAAUCUUCACCAAUUGGGAAAAAUCCGUUGCAAAUGUGACCUGGAAUUGACGUAAGUUUCUCAUAUAUUCCAUAGCCCAAAGUAGUGCUUUCAUCUCCGCAUGAAGGGAGGACAGAGGAGCCCUAACAUUCCUUGCGCCCAC